rnacentral:lncRNA from 14 species
CGCGGUGUAGUACCGUUUCGGACACUCUCCACAGCCGGUCACAGACCCAAAGAGAAGUGGUGGCGCCCUCCAAAUAGGAAGAGAAAUACGCCAGCCGUGC